GACGAACGCUGGCGGCGUGCUUAACACAUGCAAGUCGAGCGGAAAGGCCACUUCGGUGGUACUCGAGCGGCGAACGGGUGAGUAACACGUGAGUAAUCUGCCCUUCACUCUGGGAUAGCCACCGGAAACGGUGAUUAAUACCGGAUACGACCACUCCACGCAUGUGGUGGUGGUGGAAACUUUUUUGGGUGGGGGAUGUGCUCGCGGCCUAUCAGCUUGUUGGUGGGGUAAUGGCCUACCAAGGCUUCGACGGGUAGCCGGCCUGAGAGGGUGACCGGCCCCACUGGGACUGAGACACGGCCCAGACGCCUGCGGGAGGCAGCAGUGGGGAAUAUUGGACAAUGGGCGGAAGCCUGAUCCAGCAACGCCGCGUGAGGGAUGACGGCCUUCGGGUUGUAAACCUCUUUCAGCACCGACGAAGCGCAAGUGACGGUAGGUGCAGAAGAAGGACCGGCCAACUACGUGCCAGCCGCCGCCGUAAGAC
rnacentral:rRNA from 1 species